rnacentral:rRNA from 1 species
CCUACGGGAGGCAGCAGUGGGGAAUAUUGGACAAUGGGGGCAACCCUGAUUCAGCCAUGCCGCGUGUGUGAAGAAGGCCCUCGGGUUGUAAAGCACUUUCAGUGAGGAAGAACGCCUGGUGGUUAAUACCCAUCAGGAAAGACAUCACUCACAGAAGAAGCACCGGCUAACUCCGUGCCAGCAGCCGCGGUAAUACGGAGGGUGCGAGCGUUAAUCGGAAUUACUGGGCGUAAAGCGCGCGUAGGUGGCUUGAUAAGCCGGUUGUGAAAGCCCCGGGCUCAACCUGGGAACGGCAUCCGGAACUGUCAAGCUAGAGUGCAGGAGAGGAAGGUAGAAUUCCCGGUGUAGCGGUGAAAUGCGUAGAGAUCGGGAGGAAUACCAGUGGCGAAGGCGGCCUUCUGGACUGACACUGACACUGAGGUGCGAAAGCGUGGGUAGCAAACAGGAUUAGAUACCCUAGUAGUC